UACGUAGGGGGCGAGCGUUGUCCGGAAUUAUUGGGCGUAAAGAGCGUGUAGGCGGUUCGGUAAGUCUGCCGUGAAAACCUGGGGCUCAACCCCGGGCGUGCGGUGGAUACUGCCGGGCUAGAGGGUGGUAGAGGCGAGUGGAAUUCCCGGUGUAGCGGUGAAAUGCGUAGAUAUCAGGAGGAACACCGGUGGCGAAGGCGGGUCUCUGGGCCGUAACUGACGCUGAGGAGCGAAAGCAUGGGGAGCGAACAGG
rnacentral:rRNA from 1 species